AGUUGCUCCGGCGUGAGAUUAGCCGCAGGUAGACUCGAAGGGCGUACAAUUAUAUCGCCCGCGAAAUUUGACACCCGGCGUGGUAUCGGCGACGUUCGUCUAAAAGCGAGGCACUCGGAAACGAAUCGAGCGCGUUGCAUCUAGAUACUCUACGUGCACCAUGACUGACUGACUCGGGAUCCUCGGCGAAAACCGAUAUACGCCGUGUGUAUUUUGAGUCAUGGCGCACAUAAUAUAUCUAAGUACGGCGCGUCGACUCGCCGGCGGCCAACUUCAGACGGGGAAGGCGCAAACAACGCCGAGUGUACCCUAGAGUCGUGCGCGAGGCGCUCGUGAAGAGGAUCUCGUAAAGGCCGUACGCGAGAUUUUAUCUUAUAUAUUUAACAUCUCUCUCUCUCUCUCUCUCUUUUUCGUCCGCCCGACCUCUCGUUAUCCCGUGACUAGCUUCGCGUCGUUCGCGCUGAAAGACGACGGACACGCGGGAGAGUCGCGGCCGACACGGGAAAUGUCAGUGACGUAAAGGUGCACGCGCUCGCGUCGAGCCCUUCGCCUGGUUUUUGCAAGCAACAAGAAUAAUGUGCGCCAGACAUCGACGCACGUACCUGCAGAACAUCUUUCAUUGGUGAUUGUGGUGGUUUCCCAUAGUGGAAACCGAAAACUUUAUACUACGUUACGAUGGGAAGUGUAUGCAACGUACGUAUUAUAUCAAUGUACGAUGCGCAUAAUUAAGAGCAUAUAUACAAAGUCGUCUUGAAACCUGCAGUUCUAAUAUUACAUGAUUAGAUGCAACAGUUGUGCAAAAAAUAAACGUGUAAUUUAAUGUACUGAUCGAUAAAUAAUUGAUGAGAAAAGAAACCUAUAUGACUGGUACCAACCGAUACAAAAUUAUUAAACAUUGCCUUUAACGAACGAUUAAUGUUUUUGAUGUUUGAAUAGUUGAUGAUGAUGAAAUGGCUCCGACACGUGUUGGAGCAAUUCUUCGUUAUUGUAACUAUUAAUGUUGUUGUAAAUUGUGUACCUAUAAAUUUGCAUGUAAUUAGCGUGCAAGUUUAACAUAGCA